rnacentral:rRNA from 1 species
UACGGAGGGUGCGAGCGUUGUUCGGAAUUACUGGGCGUAAAGCGCGUGUAGGCGGCUUGUUAAGUCUGGUGUGAAAGCCCGGGGCUCACCCCCGGAAGUGCACUGGAUACUGGCGAGCUUGAGUCCUGGAGAGGAGGGUGGAAUUCCUGGUGUAGCGGUGAAAUGCGUAGAUAUCAGGAGGAACACCGGUGGCGAAGGCGGCCCUCUGGACAGUGACUGACGCUAAGACGCGAAAGCGUGGGGAGCAAACAGG